GGAUGUUAGCGGCGGACGGGUGAGUAACACGUGGGUAACCUGCCUGUAAGACUGGGAUAACUCCGGGAAACCGGAGCUAAUACCGGAUAGUUCCUUGAACCGCAUGGUUCAAGGAUGAAAGACGGUUUCGGCUGUCACUUACAGAUGGACCCGCGGCGCAUUAGCUAGUUGGUGAGGUAACGGCUCACCAAGGCGACGAUGCGUAGCCGACCUGAGAGGGUGAUCGGCCACACUGGGACUGAGACACGGCCCAGACUCCUACGGGAGGCAGCAGUGGUCAU
rnacentral:rRNA from 1 species